rnacentral:misc_RNA from 1 species
GGAGAAAUCAUUGGUGGCGUUUCAGCUGCAUGUCUUGGAAGUACAUCUUGGCUUCUAACUUGCUCUGGAGAGAUGGAAGAGGCACUGAAGAUAUUUGAUUGAGCAGUCGCUGAUCUCUCGCGCAUCCUAGACUGGUGAUGUUUCUUAUCCAGUGACAAAGAUGACUUAUUUGAAGUUUCCUUCGGGCGAUCUUCUUGAAGAACAAUCCUUUUCACAGUUGUUUUGGGAGUUUCAAAGCUUGCCCAAUUCCGAUCAAGUGAGUCACGGCGUCUCCUAGCUGUCUCUGGCUCAAGGCUCUUCACAGGACUUGGCUUCUUUCUCCUGGAUCGUUCUUUAACAGCAAGAAAGACUGAUAGUUCCUUGUUAAAAGGUGUAUUUUCAGCCUUUUCCCUAGCUGGAGACUUGUGAGAAGCACCAUCAUAGGGUAAACCAAUUGUUUCAAACAAUUCCUUCCUAAUAUUCUGACCUUUUGCAGGAGAAUCUAUGCUCAAAUCAGUCAUUAGUUUCGAGA